CUAAAGUUCCAAAAAAGCUUUGUUUGUGAACUGCAAAGUCCACCAUGUUGACCGAGAGAGCAGCUAGAGCUGUGUGCCAGUCAUGUUUCCGUGCGAUGGACAUUUAAGAUCAGAGUGACCGUUUCUUUGGAUUGUCCCCUGACACAGCUGACCCCCUCUCCAAGCCUCAUCAUCAUAAUUCUUAUCCUCCAUCAGAUGGAAGACAAGAGUCCGCUUCUGGGGGGUGGAUGCUCUGACAGGAACAGGAAGAACAUCGACAAACUGGUGUGAAGAUCCAUCCCCGUUCUGGAAUGUUCCCUAGACUUUGUGCUUGUGUUGUGUGAGAGGAGGAUGUUACGGAAACUGGAAUCCAUCAUCCAUCCUCAUCCUAUGUAAGAGACCAUGGUUGCACUAAACACCUGCUGCAGUCAGAGACUUAUAACACAGGAAGAAGUGCUUUCACAGAUCUUUCUUCCUGUUAACUAUUAAACUCUACAACACCUCAUUGA